CUGACUGACGACGAGAAGCAGUUUAGUCGUAGCAGAGCUCAAGCUAAAGAUGAGGCUAACCCAUUCUUUCCUAUCAUACCCGAAAUGGAGCAACGCAUAAAGCGCAUGAAGCAACGCAUGUUGGCCCCAUUAAAGCUGUCCGAGUAGCAUCUGAGCCAGAAAUGUGCCAGGCGUGUGGCUUAAACCAAGCAGAAUCAACCAAAGGCUGCGAGCGCUGAGGCUGAAUACCGAAGCAAAAAAACCGGCAAGAAGUUUAACAGAGCUAUGAUAUAGCGCACAUUGGAAACGCCCGAGCGUGAAGAAGGUCGUCGAUGUCAGAUGAAACGUUGAUCAAACGACACCACGGAGCAAAUCAAAGCAGCGUGAAUAUCAGCGCAUCGAUGGCAGG